AGAGUUUGAUCAUGGCUCAGAUUGAACGCUGGCGGCAGGCCUAACACAUGCAAGUCGAGCGGUAGCACAGAGAGCUUGCUCUCGGGUGACGAGCGGCGGACGGGUGAGUAAUGUCUGGGAAACUGCCUGAUGGAGGGGGAUAACUACUGGAAACGGUAGCUAAUACCGCAUAACGUCGCAAGACCAAAGUGGGGGACCUUCGGGCCUCAUGCCAUCAGAUGUGCCCAGAUGGGAUUAGCUAGUAGGUGGGGUAAUGGCUCACCUAGGCGACGAUCCCUAGCUGGUCUGAGAGGAUGACCAGCCACACUGGAACUGAGACACGGUCCAGACUCCUACGGGAGGCAGCAGUGGGGAAUAUUGCACAAUGGGCGCAAGCCUGAUGCAGCCAUGCCGCGUGUGUGAAGAAGGCCUUCGGGUUGUAAAGCACUUUCAGCGGGGAGGAAGGCGAUAAGGUUAAUAACCUUGUCGAUUGACGUUACCCGCAGAAGAAGCACCGGCUAACUCCGUGCCAGCAGCCGCGGUAAUACGGAGGGUGCAAGCGUUAAUCGGAAUUACUGGGCGUAAAGCGCACGCAGGCGGUCUGUCAAGUCGGAUGUGAAAUCCCCGGGCUCAACCUGGGAACUGCAUUCGAAACUGGCAGGCUAGAGUCUUGUAGAGGGGGGUAGAAUUCCAGGUGUAGCGGUGAAAUGCGUAGAGAUCUGGAGGAAUACCGGUGGCGAAGGCGGCCCCCUGGACAAAGACUGACGCUCAGGUGCGAAAGCGUGGGGAGCAAACAGGAUUAGAUACCCUGGUAGUCCACGCCGUAAACGAUGUCGAUUUGGAGGUUGUGCCCUUGAGGCGUGGCUUCCGGAGCUAACGCGUUAAAUCGACCGCCUGGGGAGUACGGCCGCAAGGUUAAAACUCAAAUGAAUUGACGGGGGCCCGCACAAGCGGUGGAGCAUGUGGUUUAAUUCGAUGCAACGCGAAGAACCUUACCUGGUCUUGACAUCCACAGAACUUUCCAGAGAUGGAUUGGUGCCUUCGGGAACUGUGAGACAGGUGCUGCAUGGCUGUCGUCAGCUCGUGUUGUGAAAUGUUGGGUUAAGUCCCGCAACGAGCGCAACCCUUAUCCUUUGUUGCCAGCGGU
rnacentral:rRNA from 1 species